rnacentral:rRNA from 1 species
AGUCGGAGUGGCGCAAGGGUGCGUAACACGUGGGUAAUUUGCCGUAAAGUCUGGGACAACUUGCUGAAAGGCGAGCUAAUACCGGAUGUGAAUUUUGGAAGGCAUCUUCUGAAAUUCAAAGUUGGGGACCGCAAGGCCUGACGCUUUACGAUAAGCCCGCGGCCUAUCAGCUAGUUGGUGAGGUAACGGCUCACCAAGGCUAAGACGGGUAGCUGGUCUGAGAGGACGACCAGCCUCACUGGAACUGAGACACGGUCCAGACACCUACGGGUGGCAGCAGUCGAGAAUUUUUCUCAAUGGGCGAAAGCCUGAAGGAGCGACGCCGCGUGGGGGAUGAAUGGCUUCGGCCCGUAAACCCCUGUCAUUUGCGAACAAAUUGACUCACUUAACACGUGUGUCAUUGAUUGUAGCGGAAGAGGAAGGGACGGCUAACUCUGUGCCAGCAGCCGCGGUAAUACAGAGGUCCCAAGCGUUGUUCGGAUUCACUGGGCGUAAAGGGUGCGUAGGCGGUUUGACAAGUCUGAUGUGAAAUCCCGCAGCUUAACUGCGGAACUGCAUUGGAAACUGUUUGACUAGAGGAAUGGAGGGGAGACUGGAAUACUUGGUGUAGCAGUGAAAUGCGUAGAUAUCAAGUGGAACACCAGUGGCGAAGGCGAGUCUCUGGACAUUUCCUGACGCUGAGGCACGAAAGCCAGGGGAGCAAACGGGAUUAGAUACCCCGGUAGUCCUGGCCCUAAACGGUGCACGUUUGCUGUAAGCGGAAUCGACCCCGCUUGUGGCGUAGUUAACA